AUGGCAAAAAAAAGUGAAAUCAUGUUCAGCAAGAUCAAAACCUUGGAGGAAGACAGGAUUAGAAACAAUGCACUAUGGGCUAAAUAUGAAAACAGAAUCAGAGAACUAGAAAAAGUUCAGGCAGAGUUGCAGGAGAUUAGUAAAAAACAACUUGAAGAAAUUCAGAAACUGGCACAAGAGGCUGCCAAUAGAGAGGAGUAUGAAAUGGAGUUAGCUAAUAUGGACCUUGAAGAUUAUGAGAAAGAGACUCAACAGAAAAAGGAAGAUACUGAGUCUGGGAAAUAUAAUGAGCCCACUGAUUAUAAUGCUAGCCAAGAAUCUAUUGGGACUCUGGGGGAGGAAAUGGCUGAAAUACAUGGAAGUGAGAUCCUGGAUAAAGAAGGGGAGGAGAAAGAUGUUGAAAUCAAGAGAAGCCUGAGAAACAAAGGAAGAGAAGACAAGAAGAUUGAGGAUAUGGCUAAAAGCGGAGCUGAGGAGAGGGACAAGUAUGAUAAAGGAGUCGCCAAGAAAAACGUUGGAGCUGGGAGCAAGGGUGCUAGAACAGGCAGCAAAUGA
rnacentral:rRNA from 1 species